ensembl:lncRNA
GCCGCGGCGGGAGGGGAGCGGAGCCGAGCGGAGGUGGCCCGGCCGGGUCACGCCCGCCCCCGGCCGCGCCACCGCCCCUUCCUGUCAUGGCCGCGGCCGGGCAGUGGCAGCGCGGCGGGGCGGCGCGGGCCGGCGCCUUCGGCUGCUGAGCGCCCCGCGGGCGGCGCGGAGCGGGGACGGCCCAGGCCGGAGCCGGCGGCAGGAGAUACCAGUGAAGUACCUGCUGUCCACCACUUUCUUCAUUUAACUUCCCCUUGGGGUCAGCUGCUUGUCAGCAUGCCUUCAGCCGAGAACACCUCCAAACUUUUGCUGGUCCUCGUGUCACUGCUGCUGGUGCUGCCCGUAGUUGAAGCCCUGGACGCAGGAGAUACCAUUGCCUUCUUGCUCGGCCUCGCUGUCAGUGUGGUGGGAUUCUGCGCCUGCCUUGGCUUGUAUGCAAGGAGAAGGAGUGGGCAGCAGUGACUUCAAGAAAAUGCUCAGAUGAAGAGAAUUUCUGGACACAGCUUGGGGUUGGGUGUGUCUGAGCUUUGGUUCUGGAAAACUUUAAAAAAAAAUGUAGUAGAUGUUUCUGCAAACCCCUCUUACUGUUCAGUACAACAGAGUGAAGAUGGUACAAGGCUGUACUAGUAAAAGUGAUUUGUAUGAUCUGUUCUCAUUACAAAAAGAUAACGUUAAAUUGUUUAUGAUUAACUAUUGCCUUAGAGAAGGGUAAAAACUAUUUGAAUGGGGAAGUAAAACUACAGAGAGGCUCACAGUAAGAGUUUAUAAAUUUAGCAUGUGAGGGAGGCCUUCAACAAGUUCCAUAAUUUUGGUUUCAAUAUUAAAUCAGGAGGAAGCAGCUAUUAAUCUUCCAGUCAAGAUGACAAGAGUUUUGAAAUUUGUCCUAACCAGAUAGCUAGCGAGCAGACUGCUCUAACUUGUGUGCUCACGCUCACGUUCGCUGUAAUGACAGUUAACACCUAACAGCUCACUUCUGCUGUCACAUGGAUGAGACUUAAGAGAACUAAGGAAACAUGAAAGGCUUUUUUUUUUUUCCUUUUAGAAUAUUUUUAGAGUAUUUUUAUUUUAGAAUAUGCCACUCCUGUAGCCUGUAUUCUUAUUAUCAAGUAGAUGCACCUAAGAAUGAGAUCACCAUUUUCACUUAACAUGUGUUUCAGAGAAAAGUACAUCUAAGGCUAUGUAAAUCAGAUUAGGAAUAUGGGCUUUGUCUCUCGUUUAUUUUUGUACUCAGCUUUUUCUAGGCAAACCAGGUUUAAGGCUUAGUUCAUUUGGUGUUUGCACUUUUUUCUCCAAAACUGAAGACUUAAUUAUUUUGAUGAGGAAUUCUGUGUAUUUCUGCAUUAGAAGGUUAUUAGAACUCUAACAAGACCAUUGUGCACAUGUUUCUUUUACAAUGUAGAAAGAACUUGAUAAAAUUCUGGGUUUAAUCAAUUAGUCCAUUGUUCUUGUGGAUUCCUUGUGACAAACCUAUGUUGCUAGCCAAACAUUUAGGCUUCUCUAACUGAUACAUAUGACUUCCACAGAAGAUUGGGACCAAAACCAAAGUAAAAAAUCGUGGUGCAAAAUGGGAGAUGUAAAUAGUCUUAUUGUAUUCAUGUUCAGUCAGAUUAUGUGGUAUAUGGUUGAAAGACAGUAAUGUGUCUGUUUCUGUAAGUACCAAAGGUAAAAUGACUCAGCCAAGAAUGUCUGACACAAGUCUCUCUGACUUUUUGGGGUGUUCCAGCUUGAGCCAAGAGCACAGUCUGUAACAGCAGCGGAAUAAGGAGCACAGGAGGAUGAGCUCUCCACAGCUGAAAGAAUUUCCUUCUGAUCUUGCGCUGUGGACACUGCCACUCUCUGCUAUAAAUCUUGGCUUUUAUCUUUCAGAGUUAUGUGUUUUGAUUUUUGUAUUCUUCUACUUCCUCUGUGCCUCUGUUCAGUAGAGCACAAAGCAAUGGCUAUGGGCAGGUCUUAUGUAAGUAAUUGGGUGGCAGAUCAUGUUCUCCAGAUCACGAUUUCUGCAUGCCAUUUUUGGAAGAAAGGGACAGAAUGCACAAUUACUAUGUAGAAAUUAAAUGUACCUCCCUAAGAGGACCUUCAGACAGAAGUAUCACCUUUGAAAGCUGCUUAGCAGCAGUAAAUUAUCCUGUUUGUGAUAAUUCAACUGGGUGGGUGCAAGCACAGAUUGAAGUGUGAUCUUUGAUGUUCCAGCUUAGCUAAACAAAAAGAAAAACAAACAAAAAAAAAAACCAAAAUAACCAAUAAACCCCCCCACAAAAUUGCUACUCA